AGCCGCCGCGGUAAUUCGGAGGGGGCAAGCGUUGUUCGGAAUUACUGGGCGUAAAGAGCGAGCAGGUGGUUCAUUAAGUCAAUUGUGAAAGCUCAAGGCUCAACCUUGAAAUUGCUUUUGAUACUGAUGAACUAGAGUUUGGGAGAGGAUAGUGGAAUUCUAAGUGUAGAAGUGAAAUUCGUAGAUAUUUAGAGGAACACCGACAGCGAAGGCAACUAUCUGGCCCUUUACUGACACUCAGAAGCGAAAGCUUGGGUAGCAAACAGGAUUAGAUACCCUGGUAGUCCAUGCUGUAAACGAUGAGUGCUAGAUGUUAGAAGUUUACUUCUAGUAUCGAAGCUAACGCGUUAAGCACUCCGCCUGGGGAGUACGGCCGCAAGGCUAAAACUCAAAUGAAUUGACGGGGACCCGCACAAGCAGUGGAGCAUGUGGUUUAAUUCGACGCUACGCGAAAAACCUUACCAGCUCUUGACAUGCUAAGUUUUGAGUUUAAGAGAUUAAAUUCUUCAGUUCGGCUGGGCUUAGUACAGGUGCUGCAUGGCUGUCGUCAGCUCGUGUCGUGAGAUGUUCGGUUAAGUCCGGCAACGAGCGCAACCCUCAUCUUUAGUUACUAACAGGUUAAGCUGAGGACUCUGGAGAAACUGCCGUUGGAAAAGCGGAGGAAGGCGAGGAUGACGUCAAGUCCUCAUGGCCCUUAUGGGCUGGGCUACACACGUGCUACAAUGGUAAUUACAAUAAGUCGCGAAAUGGCAACAUUGAGCUAAUCUUUAAAAAUUAUCUUAGUUCAGAUUGUUCUCUGCAACUCGAGAGCAUGAAGUUGGAAUUGCUAGUAAUCGUGGAUCAGCAUGCCACGGUGAAUACGUUUCCCGGGUCUUGUACACACCGCCCG
rnacentral:rRNA from 1 species